CUUGGAAUUUUGUCGCGUCUGCACUGCCGUCGAUAACUCUGGUGGUGGUCGUCAACCUAUUUGGAUCACCACCUUCCAAAUUGUGGACACUCCCCAUAUCAAGAUCUUGCAUUCAGCUGUUUUUGAUGUGGACAUGAAAGAUUACUACAUCUAUUAUAGCUUCACUCCAGAUUGCGAGGAUGACGAACCCAAAGGAGAAGAAACUAAGGGACCACAGGAAAAGAGAUGCAAGCGGAAAAAGAGAUGCAAGCGAAAAAGAGAUUGCAUAGAGUAGAGAGUUCAGAGUUUAAUCUCCAGCUGCUUAAUUAGUUUCUCUCAUCAUUGAUCAUUCUGUCUUGGAUCAAAUAACUUGUAAUCAGUACAUUUA